CCGCCGCCCCGCGCCCGCGCCCGCGCCGCCGCCGCCCGCAGAGGCGGGGGCUCCGGAUCCUCCUCCCUGUCGGUGCCCAGGAGAGCCUUUGGGGAUCUUUCCCUCUGCAGUCACGCACUGGUCGGCCACCGUGGCUCUUACCGCGUCCUGCGCCUGGCUCCUGCCGGCGGUUUUGUCCCAGGCGGCAGCGCCGGAGAGCCGCUCAGAAGUAAGUUUGUGGUGGCUCAUAGUUUUCAAAACCUACAAGGAGCUACCAGUGGAGACUGACCAAGAGAUGGACACAUCCCCGCCCUUGUAGAACUUAUGGUCCAGCAGGAUGUGGAGACAAACUUUCAGGACAAUUAACUGUGCUCUUGGCCUGUCUUCAUGUCCCAAUCCGUGGGAUUUCACAUGAGUUACCGUUUUUUCUCCAGUCUUCGAUGUCCUCAAAUUCAUCUGGAUUCCUCUAAAUCAGGUAUUUGUCCUACAUGGGGGCUUGAAACAAGAUCAGUCAUAGAAGCAAUGACAAGAGGACACAGUUAUUUUUUGCUGGAGUAUAAAACCUCCCAGUGAGCACUCCUGGUUUUACUACCCUCCCUGCCCGUGGUAAGAGCUACAGCUUUUUCAAGUGCCUGCUAAGGCCAGCUACUUUUUUUGUAUUUAAUCCUCAAACCACCCUCCAAGGUUGCAUGUGGUUUGCGCUCUCCUCAACAAAUGACUUCCCCUAUUGGAAACUUCAGCAUGAAAAGAAAUGCCUGACUCUUAGGUGAAACAUGAUCCUUCUGUGGCCAUAAACUUUAAACUCAAUUUAUUACGUUGGAGAGGUUUUUGGACAAACCUGUAAGAAGUUAUAUCACCCAAUCAUUGUUUUCUAAAGAACAGACUAUAGGGAAGGAGAAUUGAUCUUACAGCAGCUGCAUUUGAUUUGGUAAAGCAACUAGGAGAAAAAAUAUCCAAGACUCUAAGAGCACAACGUGUUUAGCUGUAAAAGUGUUUUUCUGAAGAUCUCAUUCUCAUCUGCUAUCAUUUGCCUGUCCAAGGCCAAGGCGUUUAUAGAUCAUAUAUGUACCGUUUCCAAAAUGUAUAUGUAGACUCACUAGAAUGCUAAGACCAAAAGUAAGUGGUUCACUAUAAAAGACACAUUUUACAGUCAUGAACAGUCGGCUUUGGGAAAGAAAACCCUACAAACAUACGUGCUGGAAUUAAAUUUCAAGACUCCAUGAAGGCAAGGAAAGGGUAGAAUUUUAAGGCUGGAAAGGAUCAUUCGGUUGAAAUCUCUUGUUGAUACACAAAGAAUUUGAAAUCCAGAGAAGUCAGUGACUUACAUGAGGUCACCCAGUUAGGUUGUGUCCUGGCUAAGUCACGUUGUCAGAACGCUGGUCCCCAAACCUCCUCCUCUAACACUAUUGUGGUCUCUUAAAUUUCUGGUCCUGUUUGGGACAUGAACAUGCCCAAUUGUAAUGUAACCUAAGACUCUUAAUGACAAUGACAAGUGCUCUGUAUAGAUGAUGUGUGAAUGGCACUUCCUGACUUUGAUGGAGUUUAAUGCAUUAUUUAAAUUAGUCAUAGAGGAAGAGGGUUUGUGUGUGUGUGUGUAUAACUGCUUUGUGGAUCUCUCUCUGUCUCAGAAAGGGAAUUUGACUAACCAUGGCUGUUCCAGCCAACCAGGAAAUGAAUGAAACUCAACCAGAGAAAUCAAGGAUGCUGUGAUUUGGCCAACGAUUGUUUUGUCUGAUGUGCAUCUAAACCGUAGUACUGACUUCUCAGGGUUUAUGGGACUUAAGUCAUGGAAUAAGUCACAUGGAAAUGUCACAUGUUCCUGAUGUCUCUGCAUCAGGCCUGGGGUGGGAAGGUUACAUGGUGGGAGAAGUGAUUAUAUAUUACACAGAUAGAACAUUUGUGAUGGAGCACCUGGUCAAAUUAAACAUUCAUGAGCUCCACACAUCAGAAAACCAUUACUUUUCACCAGGAGGAAGAUUUAUUGCUUAUCUUUUUCUUGCUAUAAAAUAAUCAACUUUGCAAAAGCUCACCAUGCGAAAACAGCAGGCAUUUCCUCCCUGGAUUUUCAGCUGGGGCCAAAUGUAGGGAAUCAAAGCCCUAAAAUAACUUUUCCUGCCCUGGAAGAUGUGAGUGGGGAUGCAGAAGUGGUAGGAGGCAGGGGUAAUGGUAAUCUGAUCCAACAGCGCAGGUUGGAUGCAUAGGCAGGCAGCUCUGGGCUAUUCUUUUCUGCACCGGUAGGUACUUUUACCAUUGCAAUAAGGAGGCCUACAUUUUCCCUGUACUUCAGGAGUGUAGUGGGGAAAGAGGGUGAUGCUUUCGUGGAUGAUUUAAGUAAAUUAGAUUUCUACCCUUGUUGCUUCUACCCUUCCAUUACUUUUCAAAGUAUAGAGGCAAUAUAGAAUGCUGCUUAUAAACCAGGAGUAUAUGAUGCACUUCCUACAGUUCAGGUUCAUUAUCCCUUUUGGGACAAAAAUUAGUGUGGGGAAAUAGAAAACAUAGCUGCGAGGUAAUCUGUGUGUGUGAUACCUUAAAUGUGAUGAUAUCCAUGUUGUUUUGAAAGGCUUUCUCCUCUAAGGAGAGAGAACACUAGGAUACACACACACACACACACUUUUUUGGGGACCUGGGUCUUGAUAGAACAUCCUUAGGAAGUGGGUCUUUUGUAAGGGAAGCCAUAAAGCAAGUAUUAAUGUGUGUGUGUGUGCGCACAUGCAUGUGCCCUAAUUUCAAUCAUUUUAGAGCCCCAUGAUAUAACCAACUUUUUCAUGGAAAGUCAGGAGAGAGAUCUGGGUUAAAUCUAGCGCAAAGGACGUAAGCUACCAGAAGAAAAUGAUAUUUUAUAUACAUUUCAAUGUACAUUGUAUUAAAAUUAUAUUUUUCUAUUUUCCCCUCAAUCAAAUCUUGUAGCAUGGAAGCUCAGACGUGUGUUUUGGUAAGGCUCUGGAGAUCUGAGAUUGCUGCUACCAGCAUGCCUGGCCUUCUCUACUCCUUACAGUUGUAUAUAUUUAAAUACAGACAUUCGAAACCCUAUCAUCCCAUUUGUGGUUCUUCCUGAGGGGAUAGAUUGGUUAGGACUUAGGACUGCCUCCUUUUUUUUUCCCCUUCCUUGGCAGUGUGAAGUUUUUUCUAAAGCUAUGGCUGUUCUAGGAUCAGCUAAAGUUAAACCCAGGACACUUCUGGAAGAGACCCAGGGUUGUAAGGAACAGUGAUUGGAUUGUUUCCAGAGUUUCAGGGACCUGAUCAGGUCUGAGAUUGCUGGGAUGGUAAGUUGUAAGGAGAGAGUGGGAAGGCAGCCCCCAGCAGUGAGUGCUCAAGUGAUUUCUCUCAGUUUCAAGGACUUUGUUGAGUACACAGAAAUGUUAAAUACAGAUCUGUUAGACCCCAUUAUUGUUGGAUAGAACAGGAACCAUAUCUGCUUACCAGUAAGUUCAACCUUCUGCCUGAAUACUUUUAAAGGAUACCAGCCUCUCAAAAACAUCAAAAGGUGCCUACUCUUGGAAUGGGAUGAAGACAAGAAUGUCCCAGUGAAAGUCUGGGUGAAGUUCAUGGCCACUCCUGACUCCAAAGUUAGCACUGAUUCUGUGUCUAGCUGCCCUCACCUUGGGGCCCUCAAGACAGUGGAGAGGUGCUGAUGAAGCUAUGUGUGGACAGUCUCCAUUCCUCUUUCCUUUUAAAUACUCUCUUAAGGGUAGUGACCUAUACACUAUGAACCUGGGUAACAAAUCACACACAUUAUUGUCCCCAAGCACUAUGUCAUAUGGCACCUUUCAUGUAUUUUGCCAAUGUAAAUUCCUAAACUGUAUUUCUUCUUCUUUUUAAAUUUAAAGAACUCCUCCCCCCAAAUUAUUAACCAGUACCUUGGAUGUAGUCACUAGUCACAUAGUCACUAGUGAUGGAAUGCAAAGGAGCAAAGUGUUAUGGGCUAUGAAUAAGGUAAAAAUAUUUGAUGCUGGAGUAAAUUUUUAUUUUUGGCUAACUGAAUGCCUUGAAUCUGUUUUGCUGAGGCUAAUAUUUACAUGUUUCUAUUCUUGGUACUCAUAUCAAGUGACUGAAAGAGAACAUGGCCCCAAAUUAUGCUUACUGGCAAGAAAAGCCAAAGUGAAAUGAAAAAUGUGCCAUCGAAAAUUCCUAAUUUGAGUAAUUCUCAUUAUUUGAUUAUUGCUUAGCAGAACAACGAAUCUCACCUAAAAAGAUACAACUCAGGGCAAGAUAGUUAAAUAGGGAGGCAACUGUGAUAGAAUAAGGUAGAGGACUUUGAGAAAGAUGAGCUAUGAUGGUAUUUUACCCUAGUCUUAUCCAGUAACAUCUUUAUUCCUUUAAGUUUUACUAGUAAAUAAAACUUCUGAAUGUGAAA